rnacentral:rRNA from 1 species
CUGGGGGUGCAACUUCCAAAACCCAAUGUGAACGUUACCAAACUGUUGCCUCGGCGGGAUCUCUGCCCCGGGUGCGUCGCAGCCCCGGACCAAGGCGCCCGCCGGAGGACCAACCAAAACUCUUAUUGUAUACCCCCUCGCGGGUUUUUUUUAUAAUCUGAGCCUUCUCGGCGCCUCUCGUAGGCGUUUCGAAAAUGAAUCAAAACUUUCAACAACGGAUCUCUUGGUUCUGGCAUCAAUGAAGAACGCAGCGAAAUGCAAUAAUUAAUGUGAAUUGCAAAAUUCAGUGAAUCAUCAAAUCUUUGAACGCACUUUGCGCCCGCCAGAAUUCUGGCGGGCAUGCCUGUCCAAGCGUCUUUUCAACCCUCGAACCCCUCCGGGGGGUCGGCGUUGGGGAUGGUCCCUGCAUUGGCGGGGGCCGUCUCCAAAAUACAUUGGCGGUCUCGCCCCACCCUCUCCUGCGCAGUAGUUUGCCCACUCCCAUCGGGAGCCCGUCCCCGCCAACACCCGUAAAACACCCAAUUUCUGAAUUGUUGACGUGGGAUCAGGUAGGAAUACCCGCUGACAUUAAUCAUAUCAAU